GCCUAUGACUGUGGCAGCCACAGGCCUGGCUGCUUAUAUAUCCUUCUACCAUCCUCAGCCAGAAGGUGGCUAAAAGUCAUAGUCCUGGGUGAUGGUCAGCAUCACCCCAGACGAUGGAGAAUAUGUGGAAGAAAUUGCUACAGUUAGAGCACAGGAUCACAUAACCUCUCCCCUACCCCAUUCUUUUUCCCAGACGCUUUUUAUCAGCCUAAAUGAACCACCUCAUUUACUGGCUUCAAGUAGGAGUCUCAACUCUGAAUCCUAUCUUGUUUGGAGCCCUGUUAGUCUUUUUACUCACAGGAGUCACCACUGCUCUUGAUACCUGCGGACCUGUGACUUCAGCCCAGCUGAGCACUUCAUGAGCAUUCCAUUCUCAUCCAUCACAAUGAACAUUCUGAAUAUAACUAACUUCCUUCCUUCCUGCCUUCCUCCCUCCCUGCCUUCCCUUCCUUCCUGCCUUCCUUCUUCCUUCCUCCCUUUUUUCUUUUCUCCCUUCCUUCCUUCUUAAUAUGUUUUUGGCCUUUUCUUUAUAUAUGUGGCCUAGCAAUAUCCUGUGUUUGGAAAAGUAUAAACCUAAGGCAUCACCUUUACAGAAAAUAUCUUCCACGGAAACAUCUAAAGGCAAAAAUCCUUCAAAUUCAAAUUUAUCCAAUCAUUUCUUCUGCUUACUACCAUCCUAAAUCAUUUUUCUUUAGUAAGAUCUAUUAGUGUGAAGCUAUUAAGCUAUUAAUGUAUGUAUCAUAUUAAUGUAUUAAGACAUUAAGUGAGGAAGUAAAGUUGCAUUCACAGGCCUUGAACUUUUCCACAUCUCGAUUUUUACCCAUCAUCUCUGCAUAGUUCCCUAAGGCAGCCUUCAAAUGGUGAUGUUUCUUAUAAUCCAGAGUUCAGAAGUGGCUUCUCUUCAAUCUUUCUGUGGAAUUCUAAACCACGUGAUAAAGGAGCUGGUGGCCACAGAUCAGCCCUGGGGUUCAGAGGGAUCCUGACAGCUACUCCUCAAGAUCCUCUCUGUUGUGAUUCAUCCCCCCGGGGCCCUACAGUUUCUCCUUCCUGACUCUUACAUUUCUUUGGAUGGCAUCAUUAUUUACCUGUCUCCUCCCAUAGUUAGGUGCCAAGCACUGUGGAUUCUGCCUCUCAGUGUCCAGACACCCAUUUUCCUUCCCACUGUUCCUUCCCCAUGGAGAAGCCUGUGGCUGGCUGACAGCAGAGAGAGAUGCUCAACUUGGAGAAGGUGUUACCUGGGCCAGGUGGGGAAGGUUUGUUUGCAGAGCAAAGAAGUGAAGCCUAUUCAACGUGAAAAAGAUGAGGAUGAAGACCUUUAUUAUGAUCCACUUCCAAGUAAUGAACACACUGGAGAAAGUCAGACAGUCAAAACAAUGUCCCAGACUCCGUGAAGUUCCUGGGUAGAGAAGGAGACAGACAUAUACCAUACCUAAUAAUUGGAUGUCCGAGAGAAUGAGAGAAUGGCAGAAAGAACUUUAGAGCAUGGGUAUGAUGGCUAGAGCUUGAGCAGCCAUUGUGGACAUCAGAUGAACUUGAAAGUGAAAACUAUGAGCUGAAUACGACAAAGCAAACAGAUAGAAAACUGGAUUCAUUAUGACAUUGCAAAGCUGCCAGACCAGCUCUAGUCUGCUUCCCCCUAAUCUUCCUUACUAAGAGAGAGAAAUAAACUUCCAUCUUCUUCAAGCCACUGCUGGUGCAUCUGACUACUUACUAGAUGGUUGCAUUUUGAUUUCCCAGAGACAUCUUAAGGUCAACAUGUUCAAAACCAAACAUCUUCCUUUCUUAAGGCUGCAUCCCACCCGGUUGUUGAAGUCAGAAACCUGGAUUCUACAUUCUCCCUUAACCCCAUAUCCAAUUAAAGCAGGCAGAAUAAUGGCUCCCUCAAAGAUGUCCACAUUCUAAUCCUCAGAACCUAUUAAUAUGCUACUUCAUAUGGCAAAGGGACUUUAUUUAUGUAAUUAAGGUAAAGGUCCUAGAGACGGGGAGGUUGUCUUGGAUUACCUGGAUGGACCCAACUUAAUCACAUGAGUCUUUUAAAGUGGAAGAGGGAGGCAGAAAGAAAAAAGAAGAGGCAGGAGAGAUUCAACGUAUGAAAGGGACUUAACCCGUCAUUGCUGCCUUUGAAAAUGGAGGAAGUGGCCAUGAGCCAAGGAAUGCAGGCAGCAUCUGGAAGAUGGAAACGGGCCUCAGCCGAUAUCUAGCAAAGAAAUGAGAUCCUCAAUUCUACAGAUGCAAGGAAAUGAAUUCUGCUAAUAACCUGAAUGACCCAGAAAAUAAAUUUCCCCUCAGCCUUAAGAAAGGAGUACAGCCCUACUGACACCUUGAUUUUAGCCCACUGAGACCCAUGGCAGACUCUAACUUAAAGAACCAUAAG
rnacentral:lncRNA from 1 species